CUCUUGUAAUGUUGGAGGAGCAGUCGUACUGAGAUUGGUCAGAUGAGAGAUCGGCCAACCUGUGGCAGAGACCAAGGAAGGAACAGCCACCCGGAGCCCAUCCCUAGGGAUGGAAGCCGGACAAUGAUCUGCAGAUACCACGGAGAAAGAAGUGAAGGGUAAGAGCCCACCCCCGUUGUGAGAUGGAAAGCACCAAGAGCCGGGAGACCACAAGUGUUGUCGAUGCCAGCCUAUGGCGAUGCCGUCGAUCUGGGAGUGGAGCAGCCGUCACCAUCAGUGAGAUAAGUGUCUCGUUUGGGGAGGACUCCGGUAACGGCCCACCUGCCUCCAGGCUGAGACUUGUCAUUAGCUGGGGCUCGGUUUGUAGGAAAAGAUUCCUGACCUGCUGUGGUUACGAGGGAGACAAGGUCCCCAUUUUCAGGGGCUGGUCUUUUCUCUAUCCACAAACAGUGUGUCCUACGCAGCAGAAGGUUGGAUCGAGGAGG